rnacentral:tRNA from 1 species
GCCAGAGUAGCUUAAUGGUAGAGCAACGGUAUCGUAAACCGUAGGUUGUGAGUUCAAAUCUCUCCUCUGGCUCCA